CAUAUAAAUAAGCGGAGGAAAAGAAACCAACCGGGAUUCCCUGAGUAACGGCGAGCGAAAAGGGAAGAGCCCAGCACCGAACCCCCGACCUUCUCGGUCGCGGGGAAUGUGGUGUUUAGGAGUGAACGUGCCGGGAUCGGACACUGCAGCAAGUCCCCCUGACCGGGGCCUUCCCAGAGCGGGUGCGAGGCCCAUAGCCGCAGAGUCCGUCUCGGAUGUGAUCUCCUGGGAGUCGGUUUGCUUGGGAGUGCAGACCUAAUCGGGUGGUAAACUCCACCUAAGGCUAAAUACCGCCGUGAGACCGAUAGCAAACAAGUAC
rnacentral:rRNA from 1 species